GACAUUGCGGAAGUGAGAGAGCAUCAGCAACAUGAGCGGGUCUUGAGUCGCGUCGUGCAAGAAUGGUGCGCUGUUUCGCUUUGUGUUUCCUCUUCACUUGUGUGAACACAGUGUGGCACAUUCAGGGUUCAUGCGCGGCUCAGUCAGAGCCCUCCGCCCCGCGGGGAGCAGCGGGCUGCGGCUGCGAGAAGCUGAAGAGGGACGCUGCUUUGGAGCGUGUGGAGGACAGCGCUGUGUGUGUGGAGGACAGCACCGAGUCUUCAGACCCUGCUCACAAAUACUCAAGAGGCGCGAGGGAAAGCCUGCCAGAGGCUCGGCGAGAGGAGAAGAACACGCAGAGUCCGAUGGUGCUGAUUUCUGGAGGACAGUUCCUGAUGGGAACAGACGAUCCAGGCAUCCCUGCAGAUGGGGAGGGGCCUCAGAGGCUGGUGCAUGUUGAUGCCUUCUACAUGGACAUCCAGGAAGUCACUAACCAACAGUUCCAGAGCUUUGUCAAUGCCACAGGAUAUGUUACUGAGGCAGAGAAAUUUGGAGACUCAUUUGUAUUCGAGGGGAUUUUGAGCGAAAGUGUGAAAAACCAAAUCACCCAAGCAGUUGCUGCUGCCCCCUGGUGGCUACCAGUGAAAGGGGCCAACUGGAGACACCCUGAUGGUCCAGACUCUAACAUCACAUACGUGUAGAACGACACUACUUAUACAGUUUUUACCUGUUAAAUUGUUUUAUAAUAUUUGUGUCUAAAACCUCAUAAUAUAUUAUACUUUUAUAGGAUGUAUAAUAAUAGUCUUUUACACACAUUAAACACUUACUAAUUAUACAUUGACAGCAAAGACACUUCAUAUAAACUUUAGCAUACUUAGAGCAUACUUAGAUAUUAAUGAAUACUUAUUCAUCCAACAAGUCAACCUUUAUCCACCACAUUUUUAUCAACUACAAAAUCAAACAAGCCGCUGAUUGGCUCCUGAUAAGCUCGUACACAUGUUGUCUGAUGAAAUUAAGGGGGCUUCUGUGCCUGAACUAUAUGUGGACUGUAAACAUUCUCAACAACCCCAACUGCAACUUUUGAAACCUUUGUUGAUCUAAAAAGACAGUUUGGACAAAACCAACUUGAUCAAUCAAACUCAAACUGCUGUUGCCAAAAGGCUGGACCAUCCUGUUCUACAUGUGUCCUGGGCAGAUGCAGUUGCAUACUGCUCCUGGGCCAACAGGAGACUUCCUACAGAAGCGGAAUGGGAGUACGCCUGCAGGGGAGGCCUUAAAGACAAACUUUACCCGUGGGGAAACAAGUUGAACCCUAAAGGACAACACUAUGCCAACCUCUGGCAGGGGGAUUUUCCCAACCAUAACUCUGCAGAGGACCGAUACAUUAAAACGUCACCGGUGAAGUCAUUUCCCGCCAAUGCUUUUGGUCUGUAUGACAUGGCCGGGAACGCAUGGGAAUGGACCUCAGACUGGUGGACUGUGCAUCACACCAUAGAUCAACAACACAACCCAACAGGUCCUCCAUCGGGCACCGACAAGGUGAAGAAGGGAGGUUCUUACAUGUGCCACAAGUCUUACUGUUACAGAUACCGAUGUGCAGCCCGGAGCCAGAACACUCCGGACAGCGCAUCCUCGAAUCUUGGUUUCCGCUGUGUCUCUCGGGGGCAACGGUGACCUGAACAAGUCGUCUUAAACACAGGGAUCUAACUAUUGAUUGUGCAGUAAACCAAGGACAGGAAUUUAAUAUGUGCCAUCUAACUGACGGGUAGUUGAGAAUGUCUUUCAUUCCAGUAGAUAUUCUAAGAAAUAACAUAACAUUUUAUAACUUUCUUUAUAAGAAAUUAAGCUAAAAGGCAGUUUGUUCUACAUAUCUGUUUUCUUUAGCCCUUUGAGCAUAGGUGAAAAGAGCCUUGAAUAACUUAUAAUAAUAAUUGUAAAUGUUAAGAAUAAUCUUAGUAAGCAGUUGUACAAGUUAACAUUAUCAACAAAAAGGUUCGCUGAGUAACAGACUAAAAGUCAACUAUACAGCCAAUAUACAAUUACACUGUUGAUGUGCAAGAUUAUUGUAACAUCUAUGACAAAUGUGAUCCUAAACAAUCCCAUUGUUCUUUUUCUGUGUGUAUUCUAAUUAGUUCAGUUAAAUUUUCUUUCUUUCAAGAUUUUAGUUUUAUAUUGUGUGUAAACAUGGCUUAAUAAAAAGCAUGACUUUUUCAAAAUUGAA